GACGAACGCUGGCGGCGUGCUUAACACAUGCAAGUCGAACGGUGAAGCCCUUCGGGGUGGAUCAGUGGCGAACGGGUGAGUAACACGUGAGCAACCUGCCCCUGGCUCUGGGACAACCACUGGAAACGGUGGCUAAUACCGGAUACGACCCGCCUCGGCAUCGAGUGUGGGUGGAAAGUUUUUCGGCUGGGGAUGGGCUCGCGGCCUAUCAGCUUGUUGGUGAGGUGAAGGCUCACCAAGGCGACGACGGGUAGCCGGCCUGAGAGGGCGACCGGCCACACUGGGACUGAGACACGGCCCAGACUCCUACGGGAGGCAGCAGUGGGGAAUAUUGCAUAAUGGGCGAAAGCCUGAUGCAGCGACGCCGCGUGAGGGAUGACGGCCUUCGGGUUGUAAACCUCUUUCAGCUCCGAAGAAGCGAAAGUGACGGUAGGAGCAGAAGAAGCACCGGCUAACUACGUG
rnacentral:rRNA from 1 species